AACACUGUUAACCUGCGGUACCUGCGGAAGGAUCAUUACCGAGUUUACAAACUCCCAACCCUAUGUGAACCUUACCAAUCGUUGCUUCGGCGGGCUUAGCCCCCGCGCCCUCGCCGGCGCCGGGAGAAAGGCGCCCGCCGGGGACCCCAAACCCAAUGUUUUUCAUGCAGUAUUUCUGAGUGGCAAACGCAAAAAUAAAUCAAAACUUUCAACAAUGGAUCUCAGAUCGGAAGAGCACAC
rnacentral:misc_RNA from 1 species